rnacentral:lncRNA from 1 species
CCAAAGUGGUCAGUUGACCCCUAUAGGAGUUAUUGACCUUUAUAGUCAAUUUUUAAACAUUUUUCGUAAAUCUUAGAAAUCUUUUACAAAAAUCUUCUCCUCUGAAACUACUGGGCCAAAUUAAACCAAACUUGGCCACAAUCAUCUUUGGGGUAUUUAAUUGAAAAAAAUGUGUCCGGAGACCCGGCCAUCCAACCAAAAUGGCUGCCACGGCUAAAAAUAGAACAUAGGGGUAAAAUGCAGUUUUUGGCUUAUAACUCAAAAGCCGAAGCAUUUAGAGAAAAUCUGACGUGUUAAAUUGUCUAUCAGGUCAAGAUCUAUUUGCCCUGAUAUUUUCACAUGGAUCGGAUAACCUGUUGUUAGGUUACUGCCCUGAGAUGGUAAUUUUAAGGAAAUUUUGCUGUUUUUUGUUAUUAUCUUGAAUAUUAUUAUAGAUAGAGAUAAACUGUAAAUAGCAAUAAUGUUCAGCAAAACAAGAUCUACAAAUAAGUUUUCAUGACCAAAAUAGUCAAUUGACCCCUUAAGGAGUUAUUGCCCUUUAUAGUUAAUUUUUAGCAUUUUUCAUAAAUUUUUGUAAAUUUUUAGAAAAUAUUUUCCACUGUAAUUACUGGGCCAAGUUCAUUAUAGAUUGAGAUAAUUGUACCAACAAGAAUGUUCAGUAAAGUAAGAUCUACAAACACAUCACCAUCACCAAAACACAAUUAUGUCAUGAAUUUAUCUGUGUCCCUUGUUUAAUAUGCACAUAGACCAAGGUGAGCGACACAGGCUCUUGAGAGCCUCUAGUCUUAGCUUCCCGUCAAGUGUUCAUGUGACUAUUUAAUGAUAAAGCACAUGGAAAUUGUUUACAGGUAUCCAUGAAGUCACGGAGGAGUACUUUACGCUGUCGUCUCGUGUCAAUUUUAAGACAAAUAACAAACAAAAAAGUUUAUUAGUAAACUGUUUAUACAGAUUCAGGCACAUGUAAUGAUGUGUGAUGAUAUCAUUGACGAUGAUGCAGCGGAUAUUCAUAACUGACACGAUAACCAUUCUGUCUCAAACAAAUCGGGUACAGAAUCUGUGGAGCCUGACUUUAUGGAACCAAUUUCAGUGGUUAAAU